GUUGGUACAUUUUAGCAAUGUGUACCGGGUUUCAGUAGACAAAAAUAUCCUUAUAUCAUGAAUUCUAAGUUUUAAGGUUAAGGGUAUUUUAAUAAUUUUCAUUCUCAAAAUUAAAAAAAUAGAAAAAGAAACCCCCAAACCCUUGCCCACUUCUCUCAACCCUUUCUCUUUCGUCUCUUUCACUUCAACUUUUUCUCUGUCAUCCCUACUCUAGCUCCAAUUGAAAAAAAUAAGAAACAUUUGCCUUAUUUUAAUAAUUUUCAUUCUCAAAACUAAAAAAAGAAACCCCUUACUCAUCUCCUUCAUCCCUCUCAAUCCUUUCUCCUUCAUCUCUCACACUCAAACAUUUUAUCUGUCAUCUCUACACUAGCCCCAACUAAAAAAACAAUAAUUAUUAAAUAAAAUGGUUAGAGAAAAAAAAUAAUUACAUAAAUAAAAAAAUUAAAGUACCUAAUUUUUUCUUUAUAUAAUUUUAAAUAAAAUUUCAAGAUUUAGAAUUUUUAUUGUUUGAUUUUAUUGAGAACUUUCUUGUAUUUUGAUUUGUUUUUUCUUUAGUAAAGGAAAACAAGUUAAUGAAUUUCUACCAAAAAAAAUUAAAUGGUCACGAAGCAAUGUUACGUAGUAGUCUUAGAAUGUAAAGGAAGGAUACUCAUAAGUCUUGGUGCAAGUUGUACCCGUCGGUUGUAAUAUAUACAGUGAAGAUAAUGAAACUAAAGAGAUUUUGAAUAAACUUUUUUCGGAAGGUGAAUAUGUCAAUGACUCAACUCUUUACAAAAGUAAAUCGUUUAAUAAUGAGUAUUUUUUUAGUUGAGGCUAGUGCAGAGAUGACAGAGAAAAUGUUUGAGUGAGAGUGAUGAAGGAGAAAGGAUUGAGAGGAAUGAAGGAGGUGAGUAAGGGUUUGGAGUUUCUUUUUUUAGUUUUGAGAAUGAAAAUUAUUAAAAUAAGGCAAGUGUUUCUGAUUUUUUUCAAUUGGGGCUAGAGUAGGGAUGAUAGAGAAAAAGGUUUGACUGAAAGAGAUGAAAGAGAAAGGAUUGAGAGGAAUGAGAGAGGUGGGUAAAGGUUUGGGGGUUUCUUUUUUAUUUUUUUAAUUUUGAGAAUGAAAAUUAUUAAAAUACCCUUAGCCUUAAAACUUAGAGUUCAUGAUAUAUAAGGGUAUUUUUGUAUACUGAAACCCGGUACACAUUNCUAAAAUGUACCAACUGA
rnacentral:lncRNA from 1 species